UACGUAGGGUGCGAGCGUUAAUCGGAAUUACUGGGCGUAAAGCGUGCGCAGGCGGUUUUGUAAGCCAGAUGUGAAAUCCCCGGGCUUAACCUGGGAAUGGCAUUUGGGACUGCAAGGCUGGAGUGUGGCAGAGGAGACUGGAAUUCCCGGUGUAGCAGUGAAAUGCGUAGAUAUCGGGAGGAACACCGGUGGCGAAGGCGGGUCUCUGGGCCGUAACUGACGCUGAGGAGCGAAAGCGUGGGGAGCGAACAGG
rnacentral:rRNA from 1 species